AUGACUUGUGGCUGGGGGUGAAAGGCCAAUCAAACCGGGAGAUAGCUGGUUCUCCCCGAAAGCUAUUUAGGUAGCGCCUCGUGAAUUCAUCUCCGGGGGUAGAGCACUGUUUCGGCAAGGGGGUCAUCCCGACUUACCAACCCGAUGCAAACUGCGAAUACCGGAGAAUGUUAUCACGGGAGACACACGGCGGGUGCUAACGUCCGUCGUGAAGAGGGAAACAACCCAGACCGCCAGCUAAGGUCCCAAAGUCAUGGUUAAGUGGGAAACGAUGUGGGAAGGCACAGACAGCCAGGAUGUUGGCUUAGAAGCAGCCAUCAUUUAAAGAAAGCGUAAUAGCUCACUGGUCGAGUCGGCCUGCGCGGAAGAUGUAACGGGGCUAAACCAUGCACCGAAGCUGCGGCAGCGACACUAUGUGUUGUUGGGUAGGGGAGCGUUCUGUAAGCCUGCGAAGGUGUACUGUGAGGUAUGCUGGAGGUAUCAGAAGUGCGAAUGCUGACAUAAGUAACGAUAAAGCGGGUGAAAAGCCCGCUCGCCGGAAGACCAAGGGUUC
rnacentral:rRNA from 1 species